GACGAACGCUGGCGGCGUGCUUAACACAUGCAAGUCGAACGGAAAGGCCCUGCUUUUGUGGGGUGCUCGAGUGGCGAACGGGUGAGUAACACGUGAGUAACCUGCCCUUGACUUUGUGAUAACUUCAGGAAACUGGGGCUAAUACCGGAUAGGAGCUCCUGCUGCAUGGUGGGGGUUGGAAAGUUUCGGCGGUUGGGGAUGGACUCGCGGGUUAUCAGCUUGUUGGUGGGGUAGUGGCUUACCAAGGCUUUGACGGGUAGCCGGCCUGAGAGGGUGACCGGCCACAUUGGGACUGAGAUACGGCCCAGACUCGUACGGGAGGCAGCAGUGGGGAAUAUUGCACAAUGGGCGGGAGCCUGAUGCAGCAACGCCGCGUGCGGGAUGACGGCCUUCGGGUUGUAAACCGCUUUCGCCUGUGACGAAGCGUGAGUGACGGUAAUGGGUAAAGAAGCACCGGCUAACUACGUG
rnacentral:rRNA from 1 species